ensembl:lncRNA
AAAAACUCCACCUGUACCACCUGUAGAGCGAGUUGAACAGAGCGAGGUGGCGGCAAAGCGAAAGUAAAUUCAGAGUAAAUUCAACGAAACAUGACCGACACGGAGAAAACAGUUCGACCGAAAUCCUCAAAAGUGUGGCAGCAUUUCACGCUUCAAAAAAAAAAAAAAAAAAAACAUGCGUAACAUGCAAGCUUUACAAAAGUAAUAUGAGAUGGAACAGGAGCACCACGAUGAUGAUAGAGCACCUGAAACGCAACAUGUCGCCGACGAGGAUGAAGGAGCUCAACAGCAGCAAAAAAUGACAGGCUUCAUGAUGAGAAAGACAUCAUGUCCACCACAGCAAGCAGCUGUCUUGACUGAUCAUCACUGACAUGAGGCCUCUGUUGAUGGUUGAAGACAAAGGCUUUGCUACAAUGAUCUUAUUUGUUCUGUUUCCCAGAGACUAUGAGCUGAGGAGGAAUUGGAAGUUUGUCGGCUUAGACCUGGUGUCAUUCCAUCAGUGUUAAACUUCCCAGCUCAUCUUGGAAGAGUACGUGCCAGAAAGACCACAACCAAGCAGCCUUGAGAUCUUAGGCAGCAUCUCCCUGAGGUCCCUCUCUAUCUCCCCACACAUCCACCAACCACUGGAACACAUCUCCAAAGUUCUGCUGGGCCAGCUCAGCUUCCCCUCAGAAGAAGUGCCGCCACCUGCCAGAUGAAGGAGCCUUUUGAGAGGCAGCUGGCAUCGUGAUUGGACUGUACUUUGGUCUGUUCCAAUCCAGCUUCAGCUCCAGAGACGGCAGGCGGGACGAGUCAACGGAGGCCUGGUGGACGAAGACAUGCAGCUGAGUACAAUCCAGAAAACAACAGAGGAGGAGUGCAGCGGCCCAGUAUAGCCUUUGACCAAAGAACUACAGACUCUUCACAACCUGCUCAAACUCUUGGUACAGGACCUCACCACACGGGUCAAGAAGGUUUCCGUCUCAUUUCUACUCUGAAGCUCACCUUCUCCUGCUCAAACUGCUGACAAAUGUUUCUGCUGCUCUAAAGUCUGGUCUCCAGAACUUCCUAAAAACUCUCAAAGUCUCUUCUGCUGCAGGUUGCUUUGUAGAACUGUUCCAGAAAACCUCACUAAACCACAUGGAGGAGCCUCAAGAUAGUCGUCCAAAUGAAACUACAAAAACCAAACUAGCACAACCCAAACGCUAAAGUCUCCUGCAGCCUACCAGAGAACCUCUGAGAACAGAGAAUCAGGACAGGAACUCUUACCUUCUGGACAACCAACCUUGGUCCACAAACAAGAAUACAGAAUGUGUCUGACCAAACCUCUAAAGACUCACUACAGCCAAGAUAAAGACACAACUCAGCUGCAUCAAACCCACUAAUCACUGCACACAUUAGCACCAUCUGCUAACUGUGGCUAAAGAACCACAUUUACCAAGACAACUAUCCAGUACAAAGCCCUAAAACACACCAAGAAACACAUUAAAGACGAUUUUACUGCUGGAAGCUGCAAGCCAACGCCUAACCAACAAACUAAAGCAACAGAGCCAAACCCGGUUAGUGGUGAAGAGAAGCAGAGGAAAUGUUUGUCUGCAGCCACAUAAAGCAGGAAGACACUGAGCUGCUCAGGUGUUCCUGAUAACACCAAGCAGCCACCUGGACAGCCAAUAGGAACGCAGCUUACUGGAAUUCCAGAGGGCUGGCUUAGUGAAGGAAAUUUAAUUUAAAGUUGAAGCAGAAAGUUAACAAAGAAAGUUGAAAACCACCUUCUGAUACCUGAAAUCUCUGAGUUUUCACACAAAGAACACCUGAACAUGUCAAACUGGUUCCAUAGUAGAACCAUCAUUGUAAAAACGUCAUAGUAUGGUGUGUUGCUCAAAAAACAUUAGGACCCGGCUGUCAGGGGACAAACAUGUAAGAAACAUGAGAACAGAGAGAACCCAACCAGUAGGUCACAGUUUAUCAUCCCCCAGUCAUCUCCUGAAGUCCAUAUGGUGAGAGACAUUAGUAUCUGGUUGUUAAUUUACCAGAGGAUGCUUAUAAUCAUGCUGAUGUGGUCUGUACUCUACAGUAUUUUAGUGACUCAAUAAAUGCCUAAAUGCUUUUUAGUUUUUAAUAAACAUUUAACAGCAUAUAUGUAAUCAAUAAAUGGCCUUUGCCUAUCUUAAGAAAAAUUCACUCAGAACUCUAUGUUAACUACUAAAUAAAUAAAUACAUGCAUACACACAAAAAUAAGGUAAUACAUUAACUGUGUUAAGAUAAGAUUUAGAUUUUAAAAAAGUUGUUUGUUUUUGCAGAAUCCAGUAUUGCUCACUGGUUGGUCAUUACAUUUUGUUAGUUUGAUUUCACUGUUUAAAAUGAUGCCACCUCUUUUCAGACAGAACCUGUGAUAAUAAAACAAUACAAAAUUUUUAGUUCUGUGUUAAUAAAGCACUUAAAGCUUUAAGUAUGGCCAAAUGCUUUUUUCAGAAUUAAAUAUAUCACUCCUUAGGUGGUAGUGGCCCCAAGUUCAGUAAAGUUGGAAAGAUAUUCACAGAUUCGGACUUCCAGCAUCAAUAACUCAUUAGAUAUCGGUUGUCAAAACAUAAACGGUGCCUCUUUCCCAUUGUUGCAAGGCAGACAAUGUGCUACAAGCCCAGUUUUAUCAAAAGUAUCUGUCUUUCAAGCUACAGGAAUAACACUGGUGUCUAUGGAGUGAACAGGGUCCGUCUGCAAUUUGCAAAACCGCUGCAACAGUAAAGAGAGACAAAUAUUCAAUAACUUCACUCUUAUACAUUGUAGUGUCACUAAAAUCACUGCAGCCUUCAACUGGCUCCUGUUGACAAAGUGUUUUAACAGAAAUGUAAAUGCUGUAAUUUGAUUCUUUUAAUGAACCAUGUAACUUGAAUGGAUGUGAUGCUGGUGUGACCACAGUGCACACGUCUGAUGUUGCUCACAGUGGUCCAAGGGACGCUCAGGGAGUUUGUGUGUUUGCUCACACUCAGGAAAAACUACAGGGAACAUUGGAUGCCAGUUUAAGAAGCAUAUAUGUUUGACCUCUGCCUGCAUAUCUUGGUUUGGCCUUCCAGCUAUGUCUUUGAUUAUCUUGGAUUGUGCAACCAUUUAUUAUCUGGAAAAGAGCAUCCCACACAAAUCUAUUUCUAACAUCCUAUUAACAUUUAGAACUGCACAUAUAACAAGUUAAACCAUAGCUCUUUACUAAUGACUUGAUAAUAUUGAUAGAGUGUUUGAUUUGGACGCCAAUACAUCAAUAUCCAUUGAUUUCUAAAGGUUUGUAAGAGCAAUUAUG